AUUUACUAUGGUAUCUGAAUUUUCCUCCUUUUUGGAGUGUUAAGCAUUGAUAUAAUUAAAUUUAUAGCUAACUUAUUCGUUUGAGUUUUUUUCUAAUCGUUUUUGUUACCUUAUUUUGCUCUUUUGCCUUUGUAUAUACACUCCACUCUUGAUUCUUUAUAUGCUCUGAGAUGCCCUUUCAAAGAUUCUUUAUAUGUCUAAGAACUCUCAAAACCCUACCACACCCAGGAAAAAAAACAAAGUUAGAGAGAGAGAAAGGUGAAAAUGAAUUGAAAAUACCCCGAAAUAUUGCAUUUAAACUCUAAACACCUUUCUGGAUCUCUGAGAUUUGGGAGAAAAAUGGUGGAACAAACACCCUUUGUGGGGUUAAACGUGAAGAAUCAUUUAGUUGCCGUUUGGUGGUUUUCUCUUCUCUUUUUUGGUUUUGUCUCAAAUGAGCAAAAGAACCCAGAUUUUACUGAUGAAGAGCGUGAUUUCUACUCGAAAUUGGAGGUUGAUUCAAGGGCUUAGUACAAAGAAUAUGCAACAGCUGGAACUGUUAAAACAAAAUUAUGUGAACAUCUUACUGAUGCCUUUGCGCCUUCGACAAGCUUGUGAUCACCCUCUUCUUUUUAAGCCUUAUGACUCUAAAUCUUUAUGGAGAUCUUCAGUUGAUGUGGUCAAGAAGCUUCCUCGGGAUAAAUAGAUUUUCUUAUUAAAUUGUUUGGAAGCAUCAUUGGCUAUUUGUGGCAUCUGUAAUGUAUAUCUUCUGCCCAUUUCUUUUCUUUGAUGUUAAAUUUUUUAGUUAAUGUAUGGUUCAGUGCAUGUGAAAUUAAGUACAACAUUUAGUUCAAACUAUCUGUUUACAUAUAAGUUAUCAUGAAUAUGUAUGAACAACUUUGUUUGAAAUUUUUAUUAAUCCCUUUGAAAUGUUAUUAUGUAAGAAAGGCAAUAACUUUUAUAAAUAUUAAUUUUUUUAAUGGUCUUUUUAUAUGUGUUGGUUUUAGAGCUAAGCUUCCUUAACCUCUCUUCAAGUUACGGACAACACAUGUCCAAGCCAAAUCACUUCAAAGCCAAACUCACUGUCAGUCUCUCCCUCUCACACACACUUUACUUUUCCUUUCUAGCUUUCAAUUGUUGCACUUUUUCCUUCUUUUAACUUGACGAUCGUUUAAGCUACCAAUCAAUGAUUUUUUUUUUUUUUUUUACAUCCGAAUGAAAUUUCUUGGGUUCCAUGGUUUGAGAUUUCAGAAUUAAAAGCUUUCUAGAUAAUACGGCGGAUGUUUAUCUUUUCUUUUUCCCGGUGGAUGUUACAAAUUCUUUCUUCUUUUUUUCUUUCUUCUUAAUUUCUAUGUUGCACAACUGGUUUCAGACUCCUUUGUCCUUAUAAAAUCAGGAAGAAUAUUCUGAUGGUACUCUGUAUCAUGAUGACAUGUAGAUCUCUGAGGUAAGUUCAGGUCAAAAUUUUUGGGGCCAGUUUGCAUUUUUCCUUCUUGGUUAUGUGGUUUCUUCAAAAUUGUAAUAUUUGUUGUCUGAUUUGGUUGAGGUGUAGAAGGCAUUUUUUGUGGAGAAUCAAAUCUUUGGUCAUCUGCAAGUUAUCUGAGAAUUUUCUAAUAGGUUUUGGAGAGCUUUGAAACCUCAACCAAGGGCCAUAUUGUGCUGGAAACCAAGUUUUAGGUGGAGAAGUAUGGUGGAGAUCUUGAAGGUUCUUUGGGGUUUCGAUCUUCACCACUUUCAAGGGGGAAGAUGGACCUAUGAAUGGUUUUGAAGAUCACUUCGAAUAGAAAGGGAAGAAUGCUUCUGCAACGAUACUUCAUUGAUGUUUUAGGAUCUUGGAGGGAUUUUGAAAACUCUAUCGUUAGCUAUGUGCCUAUUUUUUAUUAUUAUUAUUAUUUUUUUGUUUAAUAGGUGUCCAUCAAAAUGUACAAAUCAACCUUCAAAAGAAAUGUCCAUUGGGAGAUCAAGAUAAUCUUAGGAAUUACUAGUGAACAAAGAAGACUUGCAAAAUAUUUUAUUUACUUACAAAAAUAAACAUGAAAGAUACAUUACUUUAUUU